GAUGAACGCUGGCGGCGUGCCUAAUACAUGCAAGUCGAGCGAACAGACGAGGAGCUUGCUCCUCUGACGUUAGCGGCGCACGGGUGAGUAACACGUGGAUAACCUACCUAUAAGACUGGGAUAACUUCGGGAAACCGGCGCUAAUCCCGGAUAAGAUAUUGAACCGCAUGGUUCAAUAGUGAAAGACGGCUUUGCUGUCACUUAUAGCUGGUUCCGCGCCGCAUUAGCUAGUUGGUAAGGUAACGGCUUACCACGGCAACUAUGCGUAGCCGACCUGAGAGGGGGAUCGGCCACACUGGAACUGAGACACGGUCCAGAGUCCUACGGGAGGCAGCAGUAGGGAAUCGGCCGCAAUGGGCGAAAGCCUGACGGAGCAGCGCCGCGUGAGAGAUGAAGGUCUUCGGAGCGUGAAACUCUGUUAUGAGGGAAAAACAAAUUUGGAAGUAACUAUGCACGGCUUGACGGUAACUAGUCAGAAAGCCACGGCUAACUACGUG
rnacentral:rRNA from 1 species